rnacentral:tRNA from 1 species
GGAGGGUUGGCAGAGCGGUUGAAUGCACCGGUCUUGAAAACCGGCAAGGGGGCAACUCCUUCCAGGGUUCGAAUCCCUGACCCUCCGCCA